GGUGACCAGCGGAGGGACAUUGCUGGAACGCGCCCCAGGCGCACCCAGAAACCCUUUGUGAACUUAUACCUUACUGUUGCCUCGGCGCUAGCUGGUCCUCCGGGGCCCCUCACCCCCGGGUGUUGAGACGGCCCGCCGGCGGCCAACCUAACUCUUGUUUUUACACUGAAACUCUGAGAAUAAAACAUAAAUGAAUCAAAACUUUCAACAACGGAUCUCUUGGUUCUGGCAUCGAUGAAGAACGCAGCGAAAUGCGAUAAGUAAUGUGAAUUGCAGAAUUCAGUGAAUCAUCGAAUCUUUGAACGCACAUUGCGCCCUCUGGUAUUCCGGAGGGCAUGCCUGUUCGAGCGUCAUUUCAACCCUCAAGCCUGGCUUGGUGAUGGGGCACUGCUUUUACCCAAAAGCAGGCCCUGAAAUUCAGUGGCGAGCUCGCCAGGACCCCGAGCGCAGUAGUUAAACCCUCGCUCUGGAAGGCCCUGGCGGUGCCCUGCCGUUAAACCCCCAACUUCUGAAAAUUUGACCUCGGAUCAGGUAGGAAUA
rnacentral:rRNA from 1 species